rnacentral:lncRNA from 1 species
UGUAGGAUUAUCUGCAGCAUUUGUCACUGACCUUUUAAUUCCCAGCUCAUUCAUGAGCCAAUGUACUAAUAGAAUUCAUAAAAACGUAUCAAAUAUAUAGAAUACAUGUACAUAUAUUUAGCAAAAUGCUCCUUAAGAUAUAUUAGGACAUUCAAUAUGCAAUUGUGAGGAAAAUAACUCCAAGAGAAAUAUUAUUUGUUCAAGUAAAUAAAGUAUUUUCUUUAUGUCUGCUUGAUUUAUUAUGAGUUCAUCUUUGCCUUCAAUAACUUUCCAUUCUUGUGUAUAGCAUCCAAUAUAUUUUAAAUUAUGUUGCUUAUUCUAUGAAUUUUGAAAGGAUAUACUUCGCUGUCGAUUAUAAAUAAUAUGAUGUGCGAAUCACAAAUUCGUUUUGAAGGCAGUUCAACCUUUGUACGCAUAUCUCCUUUUUUAGGCAUCCAGAACUUAAUAUUUCUUGGUUCUACAUACUCGAUUUUGAGUCAUCACUUGACUUAAAGUGGGUCUGGACAUGAUCAUAUGCUAGACUUUAUUGCUUAUCUUUUAUUUUAAAAUAAAUGAAUUGUAAUUUAUUUGAAAAGAAAGAAAAUUAUUUUAAUACAAACCCACUUUAAGUCAAGUGAGCACAAGCGAUCCCUGAACCUUACAGUCGAACUCAAUCCAACCUUAUGGUAAAGCCUUAUGGGUCUGUAUUAGACAAUCUCCAAAGGUACACCAAAUUUACACAAAAUUUGGUGUUAAGAGUAUUUUCAAUGGUUGGUGCUCUAAGAAAGCCCAAACUUACGUCCCUCAGGUUGCAGUCGAUCCGUCCCGAUAGCGACCGCAAAACAGCGCAACAAAAUUAGGUCCGUGGCACCACGGACCCUUGCCAAGCCUGGAUGACACCGUAGAUUAAUUUUGAUACCUCUAUUCCCAAUCAUAAACUCUAAUGUACCCAAAUCAUGAAAAUUUUUGAAGCCACAAAUUUGCUUUCACUAUUCAUAGGUAUAUCUUGUGAUCUAUAUGAAAGACAUACAUUAACCUCAAAUGCCAAAUCACUGCAAGAAUAUAUAGGACAACACACAUUUCCGACCAUGUGGCACUCAGUGGAUAUAGACGAGAUUCCCCAACAAUAUCCAAC